AAUUUGCAACCAAAACUCAAAUCUGCAAAUCAAAAUUCAUAAAUUGAGAACCAAAACCCAUAAUUUGCAACCAAAACUCAAAUCUGCAAAUCAAAAUUCAUAAAUUGAGAACCAAAACCCAUAAUUUGCAACCAAAAGCUAUAACCUAAAGCGCAAUCAUAUUUCUCAGGUGCUGAUUUGUUUUCUCGCUGUUCUGAAAUCGCCUUUUUGAGUUGCGCUUUUAUUUUGAAAUCGUCUUUUGAGUUGAGCUUUUUUUUUUUGCGGUUGCGAUUCUAAAACCUGUCACACACGUAAAAACAGCGCCACGUCAGUCAACGGGAGGGGAGGCGGGACAUCCCCGACAGCCAGUAGCUCAUUGGCUACCGAAUGACUCCGAGUCUUACGUCAGCGUCCACCACCUCAGAGCGCCAAAAUCGUACCAAUAUCAGAGACAGUCAUGGCGAACCAGCAACCGGAGAAUGGAUACUCUGAGAUACUGUCAGCUGUACAGACCCUGGUGUCUGCCCUUCAGCAAAAUCUACAGCAGAGCCAAGCUGCAAACAGGGUGAACCAGGGACCUGGUCCAGUAGUACAGCAACAGAUGGCUACUCCUCAGCAUAGCCAGACACCACACCAAAGUGAUCAGGGACAGAGUCAGAGUCUUUUAGCACAGCAACGGACCACAUCUGUACAGCAGGAAAUGAGCAGGUUCUAUUAUAAUUGAAAGUUCUUUGUCCUAAGUAUUUUAGUGUAUUUAACGUUACAGUCACAAAUUGAAGUAUUGAAGUAUUUGUAUUUCCAUUUAUAAUUACUAAAAUUGUUGACAUAUGUUAAAACAGAAAUAUAAUUAUGAAGUGCUCAUUAGUAUGUGGUUUCUUCUGUCUCAGGUCUUUUCCAGCUCUCUUCCGGAGGCAAAAUGCUACUGGAAAAAGACGUUUUCCAAGUGCCUCAAAAAUAUGCAAAAUGUCCAAGUUAAUGAAAGCGUUUUCAUGCAACUUCUGUUUGCUCAAUACAAAUUUAAAGUACACCCCCUCUCCUUCAGAGGAAUUACAACUUUUUCAGGCUGGACUAGGCAAACGAAGCAUCAGUCUUUCAGAGAACCUAAGUCAUUCUGAGCUGCAGAACCUGUUGCAUGAAGCAUUUCCAAAACUGGAGGCGUUAACAGGAGGAUGGCUGCUUCAUAAAUCCUCAGGUGGCAAUGGAAAGAGACAAAUGAUACUCAUAGCUCCAGAUAGCGAAGGCUAUACAGGGGCACAAAUAAAGAUGGUCUCCCUCAGUGGUAAAGCAACUCUUUAUAUAGUUCCUCUACAAGACGAACUCAACACUACUCCUUUACCCCCUGAAGCGAAAGAAUUUGAGAGCAUGCCUAAAGCAGCAUGCAAAAGUUGC